GGGAUCUGUUACUCCCCCUAGACACCAGGAAGAUUUGGUGUUUCUUGACAGCAUUUUGAGGCAGGAUAAAGCUCCAGGAACGAUUUCUUCGGUUUUUGGCUAUCAAAUGUGGGAGGGACCUGAAGACAACAGUGUGGAGAAUGCUUCAGAGGGCCCUCCGGAAGAACCCGGCAACCCAGGAUGCCACUGAUGAGGCGGUCCAGGUUAACGUUACACGUUACCUGAAGGGAGCAUCAGACCGUGAAGGAGGAAAAAGCCGCACAGCUGAGAAGGACCCACAGCCGACCCCUUAAACCUAGGCUGACUACUGACACCCCGGCAUCACUGACAA